rnacentral:rRNA from 1 species
UACGUAGGGGGCUAGCGUUGUCCGGAAUCAUUGGGCGUAAAGAGCGCGUAGGCGGCCAGAUAAGUCCGGUGUGAAAGUCACAGGCUCAACCUGUGAAUGCCGCUGGAAACUGUCUGGCUAGAGUCCGGGAGGGGCGAGUGGAAUUCCUGGUGUAGCGGUGAAAUGCGCAGAUAUCAGGAGGAACACCAAUGGCGAAGGCAGCUCGCUGGAACGGUACUGACGCUGAGGCGCGAAAGCUAGGGUAGCAAACGGG